GACGUAGGAGGCGAGCGUUGUCCGGAUUCAUUGGGCGUAAAGAGCACGCAGGCGGUUUGGCAAGUCGGGAUGUGAAAACCCGGAGCUCAACUCCGGGCGUGCAUCCGAUACUGCCCGACUAGAGGUAGGUAGGGGAGAUCGGAAUUCCUGGUGUAGCGGCGAAAUGCGCAGAUAUCAGGAGGAACACCGGUGGCGAAGGCGGCCUGCUGGGCAGUAGCUGACACUGAGGCGCGACAGCGUGGGGAGCAAACAGG
rnacentral:rRNA from 1 species